rnacentral:rRNA from 1 species
GAAGACUAAGGUUGAGACCGGGAUUAGAUACCCCGUUAUUCUUAGUUUUAAACUUGGAUAAAGAGUUGAAAUAAAAAGUUUUUUAUUCACUGGGCGACUACGAGUUAUAUUGGCUUAAAAGUUAAAGAAGUUGGCGGGACUAUAUAUUUUGUUAGGGGAACCUGGCGUUUAAUCUGAUGAUCCACAUAGGACCUUACUUUGUUUAGUGAUCAGGUAGUGUAUGGCCGUUGAAUCUAUACUGUGAAUCAACAUUGAUAAGAUGGAAGAAGUUGGUUUUUUAGUUUACAUAAAGUGUUUUGCUAGAAAUUCAGGUCGUUAUGCUUCUUAUGACAAAGGAUUAGCUGUGUUACAGUGCCUUUCUGGCUUGGUUCUAAUUGUUGUCUGAAAUGAGUGGGUGUAGAGCUUUAAACAUGAGGGAGGACUUGACAGUAAAUACUUUUAGAUAGGGGUAUUGGAUAAGCAUUGUAGUUUGUACAAAUGGCCCGUCGCCUCCGGAGAAAUUUGGAGU